rnacentral:rRNA from 1 species
AUUGAACGCUGGCGGCAGGCUUAACACAUGCAAGUCGAGCGAGUGGCGGACGGGUGAGUAAUGUCUGGGAAACUGACUGAUGGAGGGGGAUAACUACUGGAAACGGUAGCUAAUACCGCAUACCAUCAGAUGUGCCCAGAUGGGAUUAGGUAGUAGGUGGGGUAAAGGCUCACCUAGGCGCCGAUCCCUAGCUGGUCUGAGAGGAUGACAAGCCCAACUGGAACUUAGACACGGUCCAGAAUCCUACGGGAGGCAGCAGUGGGGAAUAUUGAACAAGGGGCGCAAGCCGGAUGCAGCCAUGCCGCGUGUGUGAAGAAGGCCUUCGGGUUGUAAAGCACUGUCAGCGAGGAGGCGUUACUCGCAGAAGAAGCACCGGCUAACUCCGUGCCAGCAGCCGCGGUAAUUC